AUUGAACGCUGGCGGCAUGCCUUACACAUGCAAGUCGAACGGCAGCACGGGAGCAAUCCUGGUGGCGAGUGGCGAACGGGUGAGUAAAGUAUCGGAACGUGCCCAGUCGUGGGGGGUAACGUAGCGAAAGUUACGCUAAUACCGCAUACGAUCUAUGGAUGAAAGCGGGGGAUCGCAAGACCUCGCGCGAUUGGAGCAGCCGAUAUCAGAUUAGGUAGUUGGGGGGGUAAAGGCUCACCAAGCCGACGAUCUGUAGCUGGUUUGAGAGGACGACCAGCCACACUGGGACUGAGACACGGCCCAGACUCCUACGGGAGGCAGCAGUGGGGAAUUUUGGACAAUGGGCGAAAGCCUGAUCCAGCCAUGCCGCGUGCAGGAUGAAGGCCUUCGGGUUGUAAACUGCUUUUGUACGGAACGAAAAGGUUUGGCCUAAUAAGCUGAGCUCAUGACGGUACCGUAAGAAUAAGCACCGGCUAACUACGUGCCAGCCGCCGCUGUAA
rnacentral:rRNA from 1 species